CUUGUACUCCCUCCGUCCGAAAAUACUUGUCAUCAAAAUAGAUAAAAGGGGAUGUAUCUAGACGUAUUUUACUUCUACAUUCAUCUCUUUUUAUCCAUUUUGAUGACAAGUAUUUUCGGACGGAGGGAGUAUUUA
rfam:Triticum aestivum genome assembly, contig: Triticum_aestivum_CS42_TGACv1_scaffold_030505_1BL